rnacentral:rRNA from 1 species
UACGUAGGAGACAAACGUUAUCCGGAGUUACUGGGCGCAAAGGGCGUGUAGGUGGUUUCGUAAGUCUGGCGUGAAAUUUUUCGGCUUAACCGGGAAAGGUCGUCGGAUACUGCGGGACUGGAGGACGGUAGAGGCGUGUGGAAUUCCGGGUGUAGUGGUGAAAUGCGUAGAGAUCCGGAGGAACACCAGUGGCGAAGGCGACACGCUGGGCCGUACCUGACACUGAUGCGCGACAGCAUGGGGAGCAAACAGG